rnacentral:lncRNA from 1 species
GCAGAAUGUCAGUUUAGUCAGUUAGAACUUUCAAUGCAGAAAUUCAGUGCCAUGCAGUCACGCAGAUCGAGAGCAGCACUUACCUUAAUUGAAAUAUUCUCUGUGAACGAGGAUACUAGUUGAAGAUGAGAAGACAUGGUUUCUGUCUUCCAGGAACUCUCAAUCAAUUGGAAAGACUGCUAUGAAAACAACUUUAUAAUACAAAUUGGGAAAAAAUGUGCUAAAAUAGAAACUAACUCAAUUGGUGUCCCCCUGACUCUGGACAAUAACAGCCUCCACUCAAAAGGAGUGUUUCCUAUGCUCAAGGAGCUCUAAGAUAGGAUAGAAGGGAGAGGAAAUUUGGACAUGAGCGGAGACACCGGGAAUGUACCUACAGAGAAAAGAACAUGUGAAGACUCAGCAAGAAAGACGCCAUCUGCCAGCCAAGGACAAGUCUCAGAAGAAAGAAAACCUGCCAACACCUUGAUCAGGGACUUCUAACCUCUGGAACAGUUUAAGGAAAAUGAGACUCAGCAUGAGAGAGAAAGAGGUUGGAGGUGGACAUACGAAGAAUCAACUGGUUAAAAAUGAAGUGUUUUAAGUCACAGAAGAGCUUUAAACAAUCCAUUUGCCUAAGAACCAUCUGUGUGACAUCAACAAACUUACUUUACCUCUCUGAGUUUUAUUUACCAAAUAUUUAAAAUGUUACUAAUAAAACAUCAUAGAAAUUAAA